UCCCUGAUGGAUUCAUAAAAAGUAAAAAGUAACAAGUGGCAGCAAUACCAGACCGAAAAUGUUGGAAUUACAAGAAUUGGCAGAUGGCAAAAUCUGAAAUAUGAAACACGCAAAACGAGCAAUUCGUUCUAUACUCUACACGUUCGUCCUCCAAUUAAUUCACACAACGGACUGUAUUUCCGUGUUGCAGACUGGCCAGAGAAAUCGUGACACGCGGCCUUAUCGGUUACUCCUGUUACCAUUACCGAUGGCAGCGCCACCAUCGCGGAUUAUUUGUUGCCGACAGUGAAUUCAUCAAGCGAUCCCCCCUCUCCCAAUGACCAAUCCGUUCGCACGGCCCAUUUGCGACACACGUGUACACACGCUCGAUACCGCAGCGCCAAUGCGAGUUCUCCUUCAACUAGAAGCGAAAAAGAUAAAUUAUUUGGCUCGAUCGGCGAAACGUGUUCGAAAACGUCGCGCUACGGUUUGUUUCCAAUCCGUCCAAUCGAUGGAACGGAGAGAAGAAAGCGAGUCUAAAGCUUGUGAUGUCGUAUCGAUGGUUUGUCGUGUGUCGAGUGUAAGAGUUAUUUUUUCGAAAAUAAAGAGGAGGGGAGAAUGGUGGUCGAAUCCAUCCGCGUAAAUCCCUCCGCGCCCCAUAAAGGUCUAACUCGUCGUUUAUCACGCGUUCGUUUCUCCGUUCAACCACGUUUUCGCUUGGCCCCUCUCUUUCCCCUCCCCCAGGGGAGAAAUAUCAACAGAAGCGGCGGGGAAAGUAUGCGUGUGAACGAAAAAAACCAAGUGCUUGUUCGCUUGUACGUUGUUCGUCUCGAUCCCUCCCUCGAGUUUCCUCACUGAUUUUCAUGGAUAUUCAGGGAUGUUCCUGAGGAGAUCAAACGUAACGUGAAUUUCGCAUCGCGCAUCUCUCGUGCGAAAUGCGUUUCUAAGAUAAAAUAGUCAGGAGUGAGAAAAAUCGCUGAAUUUUAUGAAAUAUCCCUUAAUAAUAUUCCAAGGAUCCAUGCAGUGUCCAAACUCUUUACGAAUAGAUAUUAAUUCAUCCAUUAUGCGUUUUUCAGUAUAAUGCGUUUAUAGAAACAGUAAAUAACUGAUGUCAUUAGUAAAUAUAGACAGCAUUCAGUGUAUCGAAAUCUUCCUAUUUUUGUGAAAUUAUCAUACGAAACAAUACUGUUGGAUACGAAUGAAUACUUUCUCACGAAGAACAUUAAUUGAUAUGUUAAAAAAGAUAUAAUGAUUCGAUUAAAAAAAAAAAAAAAAACAAA